AGGAGCCUUGGGAGGAGUCUGUCCUGCCCCUACAUCGGGAUGAGGCAAGGAGUGGACUUAACUGAAGACUGUGCUCCACCAUUCCCUGAUUAGCCAGUCUUCAAUCUUGGGGCAGAGCCCCAAAAGAAUAUAUAAAGAGCUGCGUGCACAGCAGGUGGAAGAGAAGAUGAGGGACAGAGAAGAAAGAAGCUGGGGCUGAGGAAGAGCUGGGGAAGAGCUACCUUAGGAACCACUUGAGGUAGCUCAGGUCUCCAAACCCAGCACAAGGCUAGCAUCAGUGCAGAUGCCACUGCACAAGACACCGUAGAAGGGGAAACUGCAAGCAAGCUGAAGUUUCCAUCUCCAGCACAUACGCUCUGCUGACCAUUCCCUUUUAUUGGAGAGGGGAGUACACACUCUGGUACACCCGGGUUACACCAGUAUGUGGAAACACACUUAUUAACACAUGGAGUGCAGGCGGGAGAAGAGACACCAGUAAUGUCAUCAUAGUCUUUAAAACAUGAAAGGCAGAUCUGAGUCGUGGUCUUAGCACAAGAAUGGGAUCCAGAAGCUCCUGUAUUUUAUUGCCAGCUCUGAAAGACUCACACAGACUUGGACAACUCUUUGUCUCAGUUUCCUUAUCUGUAAAAUGGAGGCAGUGAUUCCAGCUGGUGAAAUAGUGUGUGAAUGUAAGCACCACCUGCUGUUGCAGUGAGUGAGAGCUGUUGAAGAUAAAUUCACUCCUUUGACCCUUUAAGGGACAUCCAG